rnacentral:tRNA from 1 species
GGGGCUGUGGUGGAACUGGUAGACACGAGGGACUUAAAAUCCCUCAUCCGUUUGGAUGUACGGGUUCGAUUCCCGUCAGCCCCA